GGCAUGGUGCCAGAGUGGUUAAUGGGUAUGACUCGAACUCUUGAGGAAUCAUAUGGCUUCGGCCGCAGCGGUUCAAAUCCGCUCCAUGUCG